GUCCAUUGUGCGAUCAGCAAGAAGACUCAUACGUAGUAUAUUGCAUUAAAAUAUCAUUGCAACCGCAAUCUGGAAAGAUCCGAAUCGGGACGAGUGAUUGGUUGUAAUUAAUUUGUAAAAGAGCAUUGAGUGACCACAAGUACAUUUUUUCUUCGGACAUUUAUUCGCACACCCAUAUUUGAAACAGAAAAAAAAGGAAAGAAGGAGAAGAAAAAAAAGAAGAAAGAAGGACUAUGCGUGUCGGAUCAAAUUCGCCAGAAAAAUGCCUGUUACUAUUUUGUUGGAAAAACCAAUGACAUCGAAUGCACGCAGAAUGGAAGCUGAAUAUAUGCUUCGAAUUGGUUCGGUAAAAGAAACAAACGAAGAAUUCAUAACGGCCAAUCAACGAGACAAAUUGAUAGUGAAAAGUCAAAUAAAUCGUUAUGUCUGUGAACGUGUAAAACUUUUUUUUUUUCUUAUGGCUUAUCGGCAUCUGUGUAUAGUUUAAAUUUGUGAUUCGCAAUCGAUUAUCGUUGGUGUUUGAAAAUUGAAAAAAAAAAAAAGAAAAAGAAAAAAAACAAAUAAAUAAAUAAAAAUAUUCGAUGCGAAAAGCGAUAUGUUACGUAAAGAUUAACAACGAUUGAAAAUUAGUUAUAAUU